UUCCUUUGUUUCCAUUGAAGACUCAAGUUUCAGAUUGAAAGCAAAAAGGGAGGAAGCUCUGUUAACCAGCCAGGAUGACCUCACCAGGUUGAAGCCAAGCUGUGUGGUCACCUGCUUUGUAGUUCGCCCUGCGCAUUCCUUCUGAGAUUGGGCUUGAGGAGAUCCAAGUGUGAGCUCAAGGGUCAACCCAGGAACAGGAUAGCUGUUGAGUUGCUGGUUGUGGAGUGUGCUGCAUUGCGAUAUGCCAGGAGGAAAUUGGAAUGACUGAAACUGUUCUGCAACGAACUGUGGUCCUUUGUCACUGACUAAGUGUUCUGGACCACCAGUCCUUGAGAAGAGGCUUCUCAACACAGCAAAGGUAUGCGAGGCUGUUUACUGGAGCCUAUUGGGAACGCUGCUGGCCAUUUUGUAGCUGCAUCCACAAUUAGCAAGAAAUCU